UCGUAUAACUGAGGCGUUAGGUGGUUGUCGCUGACUUUUGAAAAAGGGUCGUGCACGCCCCUGCGCUCUCGUGCAUCCAUCUCACCCCUUUUGUGCAUCACCGCGUGAGGCCCCCCCUCUUUUUGAAAAAUAAAAAGGGAGGGUUCACGUUUUUAUUUUAUACAAACACCUUUUUAAUGCAUGUCUAGAAUGUCUUUACUUUUUGCGCUCAUACGCAAUCAAUA
rnacentral:misc_RNA from 1 species